ACGUAGGAGGCGAGCGUUAUCCGGAUUUACUGGGCGUAGAGCGCGUGCAGGCGGGGCGAUAAGUCGUGCGUGAAAGCUCCCAGGCUUAACCGGGAGAGGACGUGCGAGACUGUGGUUCUGGAGGCAGGCAGAGGCAGGUGGAAUUCCGGGUGGAGUGGUGAAAUGCGUAGAGAUCCGGAGGAACCCCAGUGGCGAAGGCGACUCUCUGGUCCGAAACUGACGCUGAGUGUGCGAAAGCUAGGGGAGCAAACGG
rnacentral:rRNA from 1 species